rnacentral:rRNA from 1 species
UACGGGGGGGGCAAGCGUUUGUUCGGAAUUACUGGGCGUAAAGGGCUCGUAGGUGGCCAACUAAGUCAGACGUGAAAUCCCUCAGCUUAACUGGGGAACUGCGUCUGAUACUGGAUGGCUUGAGUUUGGGAGAGGGAUGCGGAAUUCCAGGUGUAGCGGUGAAAUGCGUAGAUAUCUGGAGGAACACCGGUGGCGAAGGCGGCAUCCUGGACCAAUACUGACACUGAGGAGCGAAAGCCAGGGGAGCAAACGGG